rnacentral:rRNA from 1 species
AGCAGUCGCCGCGGUAAUACGUAGGUGGCGAGCGUUGUCCGGAAUCAUUGGGCGUAAAGGGAGCGCAGGCGGGCAUGUAAGUCUUUCUUAAAAGUGCGGGGCUCAACCCCGUGAUGGGAAAGAAACUACAUGUCUUGAGUACAGGAGAGGAAAGCGGAAUUCCCAGUGUAGCGGUGAAAUGCGUAGAUAUUGGGAGGAACACCAGUGGCGAAGGCGGCUUUCUGGACUGCAACUGACGCUGAGGCUCGAAAGCCAGGGGAGCGAACGGGAUUAGAUACCCGCGUAGUCCCUGUCUCUUAUACA